UAAGGUGGUUAUAGCGAUGGGGCUCACCUCUUCCCAUACCGAACAGAGAAGUUAAGCCCAUUUGCGCCGAUGGUACUGCCGUAAGGUGGGAGAGUAGGUCGCUGCCUUUC
rnacentral:rRNA from 1 species